GACGAACGCUGGCGGCGUGCUUAACACAUGCAAGUCGAACGGAAAGGCCCUUCGGGGUCCUCGAGUGGCGAACGGGUGAGUAACACGUGGGUGAUCUGCCCUGCACUUUGGGAUAAGCCUGGGAAACUGGGUCUAAUACCGAAUAGGACCACGCGCUUCAUGGUGUGUGGUGGAAAGCUUUUGCGGUGUGGGAUGGGCCCGCGGCCUAUCAGCUUGUUGGUGGGGUAAUGGCCUACCAAGGCGACGACGGGUAGCCGGCCUGAGAGGGUGACCGGCCACACUGGGACUGAGAUACGGCCCAGACUCCUACGGGAGGCAGCAGUGGGGAAUAUUGCACAAUGGGCGCAAGCCUGAUGCAGCGACGCCGCGUGAGGGAGGACGGCCUUCGGGUUGUAAACCUCUUUCACCAGGGACGAAGCGUAAGUGACGGUACCUGGAGAAGAAGCACCGGCCAACUACGU
rnacentral:rRNA from 1 species